rnacentral:rRNA from 1 species
AAACUUUCAACAACGGAUCUCUUGGUUCUCGCAUCGAUGAAGAACGCAGCGAAAUGCGAUAAGUAAUGUGAAUUGCAGGAAUCGUGAAAUGUAUGAGCGUCAUUACAAUCUCAAAUAAAAAAUUUUAUUUGGUAGUGAGUUUUAUAGUUUAAAACU